AGCCUUCUGUAUUCGAGCGGAGAUUUCGCCAGUGAUCAACCCGUUGGGUCUGAUGCAACUUCUGAAAUAAGUGAAAUG
rnacentral:pre_miRNA from 1 species